AAUCGGGAGCAACACCACGACAAAAUGGAGGGAUUCUGUAUCUAUCCCACGUACUGCUACUGCUGUGUUCAAGGGGUCAAAGUUUAAUCAGAGGUUUCAAGGUAUGUAUUUAAUCGGAGGUUUCAAGGUAUGUAUAUCCACAAAACCUUAAUCCCACCUACUAUUGUUUUGUUUGUGACUGCGUGCAUCGUACGGAUUUUAGUUGUAGUUGCGUGAUUGUUUAAUUGUUUGAUGUUAGGAUUCUGUGCUCUCUAUGUUUGGGGGUUUCUGAAACUUUAAUUUGCCAGGGGAGAAUGGAACUUUCAUAUCUCUUAUACUUAAGUGUAAUUUAAAUAUAGGAAAGAUUUUGGAGUAAGUCUUCAGUAUUUGUACUUCAACAACGGAUAAGUUUUCAGUUUGACAACAAUAAUUUUCUAAUUUUUAGUUCCACUAAUGUUUUGGCUUCAGAUCUUUACGUGCUUGGGCAUCUGCAUUGUCAAGAUACAGAGGUUUGUGCUAUGGAAGUUAUGGGGGAUUGUACUACUUCUAUAAUUGGGAACAUGGGGGAUGAUGUCAAGGAGGUUUAGCACUUGUUCAGACCAUUCUUAGCUUUUCCGUUGGUUUACGAAUCAAAUGUAUUUAAGCCUCAGGUUGUUAAAAGAGAGAUAUGUGCAGUAGUCACUAAAGGAACAUUAACCGAGGGGGAAAUGCAGUUGGCAAAUCCUGAUGCUUCUUACAUAAUGGCUGUUGCUGAAUGCUGCCGAUCUCUCUCAAGCGAAGAACGUCGAAUAUACGGUGUUUGUGUGGUUAAUGUUGCUACAAGAAAAAUCCUACUUGGACAGGGAUCACGGCUUGAUGAGUAUGAAGAUCGAGAUGAUGAGUUCGACGGAUUUUAGGGUAGUAACAUCGUAUUUAUGUUUUGUUUCUAGUGAUACAUGAUCAUAUGAUUGUCUGGCGGAUAUAAGUUUUUACAUUGGUACGUUGAUUUUAUAUGGCGGAUCUCAGUGUAAUAUAUCAUCAUAUUUAAAAUUUUAUGUAUUACAUUCGGAUUUGGUCA